UGCUAGGAUUAUAGGUGUGAGCCACCGCGCUUGGCCAACAUAGAAGUUUAUAGUUUUAUAAAACUGACUGGCUGUGGACUUGAAAGUUCUGACAGCUUUCUCAGUUUGCCACUAAAACGUGACAUUCUACUUGUUCUACUUGGCAGAGACAAAUAUUGAUCAUUUAUAUAUUUUUUUCUUCUUUCUUUUUUCAUACUUUUCUUUUUUUCUGCCCAGUAUGAUCUGCAGGAAUAUAUCUGUUUUGUUUGGAGGUUGUAAAUCAUUGCAGACUUACCACUGACAUGGCUUAUUUCUGGUUAGAAACCAGACAUUUGGGCUUUCCUCCCAUGAUUAUUGUAUAUAAAGGAUAUGUUGUUAGCAGCCUACCAAAGCCAAGGUGUAUCAGUAAAAAUGUAAUCCUAUCCUGUUGCACAUGUAAAAUAGGAAAUUGCAUGCAAAGUACCAAUUUUCAUGUAUGGAAGCACACACUUUUGCAGGUGCCCCCUUGCUUCUCACUUCGGAAAUAAGCUGAAAAAAUUGACAACUUGAAAUUCUCUUUUGAGAACAUCAAAGAGAUACUUCUUUGACAACUUGAGAACAGCAUGGCAUAAUGGGGAAAUUCCAAGCUUUUGGGUUAGAAAGACUUGGAUUCAAAUGUCAGUGAAAUGCAUACUACUUAACCUCUCUACACCUCCACUUUCACAUCGGUAAAAUGGAAUUAAUACCUAUUAUACAAGAUUGUGUUGAGAGGAUUAAAUGACUUUGUACAAAUUAGAUACAGACCAAAACAGAGCCUUUUAAUAGAUUAGAUGUUUAUCCUCUUUCUUCCAUCCCUUAUCUGGACCAAAAAAUAAUUUUGCUUUCUACCAAGGAUGUGGAAAUAUAUCUCAAAUUUCUUCAUCUUCCAUCUUGCACGACUGUUAUCUUCAGAGUCUUUCUUGAGCCUUCACUCACAGGGGAACUGGCCCCAAGUGCAGUGUUUUAGUGCUUUCCCACAGUUCUACCUCAGCUGUACUCUCUUACUAAUGCCUUCCUGAUACUAGGCAUUUACCAUGGUCCCAGGGACACAGCCAGAUAUGGCCUCUCUUGGGGCUUCAGGUCAGCCAGAGUCAAUCAAUCUGAUAGGCUACUACUUGUACCCUCUUUUUCUGUUUAUGAAAUUAUGGAUCUAAAUACAAAUAGGUUUUCAGCUGCUUAAAUAAAUCUAACUCCAGUAAUACCAAAAUAACCCUAAAUCUGCAACAGAUGCAAGGAUGACCCCUGGGGCAAAUGUUAAGUGUGAUGACAGCUGGGCAUCAAUUAAUACAUUUGUCACCUGCUCUCAUGAGAGGAUUAUAGGAGAUUUGGCAAAGAGACAAGUAACCUAUUGAAUGAACACUGCACAAUAUUGAGUGAAAUUGAAUUGAGAAAAAUUAUUUAUGGAGUUGUUCAUUUUUAUUUCGCUUUAAUGUUCUGUCUUAUCUAGUUACCUGUUUAGAGUCACAACUUUCUCUCAGUUCUGAGGAAGUUAAUAAGAGAGCUGGUGAGAGCAGUCCCCCUUUCACCGAGAUUACCAAAAAACCUUGUUAAAGCACCCCUUGGAAUUUUUCCUGGGAUAUAUGGGCCUUCUUGUUAUGGGCUUAAUGUUCAUAAUUUAUUAGGUAAUAACUAUUUAUAAUAAAACUAAAACACAAAAUGUACACUUUUCUAACAUUUGGAGACUUGUUUGCUAAAUUAAAAGACGAAGUACCAAGACUAUAAAUUACUUUUGUAUGUUGAGGGUGAAUGUUUAAAUUAUACUUUUUUUUUCUUUUUUUUUUUUAACAGAAUGUUUACUCAUGAGCUUAGCAUUUAAAUGGUUAAAACAAGCCUUUGAAGUUAACACUCCAUUAAGAUGAAUAGGGGUAAUUCACACCUCUGCUGGUGCUAUAUUAUUUCAGUCUAGCUGCGGAGAAAACAAGACAGCAUUAGGUUGAUUUACUGUGUGAAGGCCCUUUAAACACCCAAGGUCUGGAAAUCUUUGUUGUUUGUGUGGGUUUUUUUUUUCCCCUCUUUCCAUCUAGAAGCAGGAUCUGAAAUUCUACCCGAUGUACAUAUAGAAUUGAGGUCUUGAAAGUACCAUAGAUUCUCUGCUAUCUGGCAAUUCCCUAUCUGGCAUUGAUUGGGUGGCAAGUUACCAGAUCAACCCAACCUCUCUGGACUUUGUGUUUGCUCCUGUACUUUAAUGUUUCUUUCUACCACAGCAUUUUAAAACUUCAUCUUAGUAUGCUGAUAAAUUCACCAAUGGAAACGCAGAAACAAACUGUCCAUUUUCAGGUGAACUUUAUACCUUUAAAUGGGUUAUGGGCUAAGCAUUGGCAUUCAAAUGCCACAUUUUCAUCUUUGCAAAAUGUCUAGAUAUAAAGUGCCUACCUUUAAGAACUUUUUUCCUUCUCUAUAGUCCUGGGGUAGUAAAGUUAGCAGAGAUCAGUUGGAAAAGAUUCAUUUCUUUCUCAAUGUGUGCUUUGUACCAGUACUAUAUUGUACUAGAAGCAUGUAUUCUACCCAUUGGUGGGAGUAUGACAGCAAUUUGACCCUGAAAGGAUUCAUUUUAAAGCAUAGGAAUAAGAUUAUCUUAACACAAAUGAAAUAGUAAACAUUAUAUGAGAUGUUAUGAAUAUGGAAGCUCUCUUUUUAAGGUAAACAGAUUUUUCUCUUCUUUCUUUGCCCUGCAUGUUUGCAGGAUCAGGUUACUGGAUAAUCUGUGGGUAGCUGGGUGUGGAGAGUAUUUCCGCUCUGGGCUGUCUGUAGUGCUGACAUUGCCAGUACAGUAUAUUGAGAUAGAAAAUAGACGCUAGAAACAAAGGAAUUCAAACUGAAUUAAUUUAACCUGUUUUUCUUCUUGGCAUGUUGACAGUUCUCUGCAGCUGUGUUAGAAUUAGCCCCCUAUGUUAAACAUACUUCCUGCAAAUUUUCCUGCCUGGAUUUUAGAUGUCAUAAUUUUUUACCUUAGAACUUCUCAGACCUUUCAUAGUACUGAGAAAUUUGUUUUUCUAAUUUAAAAUAGCAAUUUAUUCAUCCUUCUACUGGUAGUUUUCCCAUAAAGACAUAGGAAAAAAUGGAAAACAAAAAUUUCUUCAUUGCAAACAGAAUCCUUACUAUCAUGAUGAUCUCUUGUCCUAAUUUGCCAGGCUGUCUAUCAAGACAAGCAAUUAUGAGGAACAGGAAGGCUCAUCUUGGCUGGUGGCCAAAUGGACAGGUGGGAUUGAAAGGUUUAUUCACCUAUGGGACAGACUUAUUGAGUGGAGAACAAUGUAGAAAUUGCUCUUUAAAUUUUGUGUUGCCAUUUAGCUUUUCACAUUUAAUAAACACCUUAUUUCUCUGACUCAGCUGUAAUUAACUCAAAGACAAGAACCAUGUCAUGUACAUUCUAGCAUCUCUCACAAUAACACAAUAGGUUCAUAUAAUUAGUUCUCAGUAAAUAUUUGUUAACUCUUACUUCAUUGUGUGUUUAGAGUUUUCUUAUGGCUCUGAUCAAUGCCAUAUGAAAAUUGUCCCCUUUGCAUGUGUGCUAUUCCCAGCAGAGGAAGGGACCAGUGUGUGAUAUUCUUAAGAAAGAUGCUGUCUUAGUCUGUGUUGUGCUGCUAUAACAGAAUACCACAGACAGGGUAAUUUAUAAUGAACAGAAAUUUAUUGACUUACAGUUCUGGAGACUGGGAAGCCCAGUAUCAAGGCGCCAGCAGAUCUGGUGUCUGGUGAGGACCCUGUCUCAAUUCCAAAGAUGGAUUCUUGAAUGCUACAUCCUCUGGGGGAAGAAACACUGUUCCAACAUGGCAGAAGAACAAAGAGUGAAGAGAGAAAACCUCUCAAAAGCUUUUUUAUUAAGGAUAAGAAAUUUGAUGGCAUCUUUUCCUUAAUUGCAAGAAGACUGUAUACAUGAAAAAACAUUGUUCAAGAAGGGAGAAGCAGCUGGCCUCAGAACUUCUCUUGUCAGCUAUGUACAAAAGUGCCUCUUCUGAACAGAGUUGUGUGUGUAAACCCUCCUCUGGAGCCACAUGGAACAGAACAAGAACAGCAUUGUGCUAGCCAGAUGAUCCAGAAACCUCAAAAAAAGUGGACUACAAAGACAGAAAUGACCAAGAAAAAAAUAAUAUGGACUGAGACAACGCAGAAACUCCACCAACCCCUUCAAUUCCCGGAAUGAUUCUAAGGCAACCAACUUAGAGGAAUGGCUUCCUCUGCUCCUGAGAAGCUCAGAACAUACCUCUCAAGCUCACCUGGAUUUAUGUAGCUGGGAUGAGGCCUUGAUAGCAGGAUCCCAAGGACAUGGACAUCUUUGGCUAAAAGAACCUCAGUUUCAUUCUGGCAUCCAGCCUUAAGGAAGGGGACCUUGCCACAGUCAUGUGCAGGGUGUGCCUGGGCUGAAGGAGAAAGGCAGGUGCCAGUCAUUACUGAUACUCCAUUGCUCAUGGACACACCCUGCCCUGAUCAUGCAAGAGGGGCUGGCCCAGCCCAUCAGUGGAUUCAGCUGUGGGAAGACAACUUUCCUCUGGCAGGUAGUGUGACUGGCAGCAGAGGAGGACUGGCCGUAUAACCAAGAUGCCAGGCCAAGGAAACAACUCGUGGUAUAUGAACCCCAACUUGGAAUGUGGCUAUUGAUUUGCAACAAGCUGCUUCUUACACUCUGCUUCUUACAACUCUGUACAGUCAACUUCAAACUUGUUGGCUGGUGCUGUGUGAGUGUAACCCCCUACUCUGCUACAACCUUUAGUAAAGUCGGCUCCAUACACAGCUUUGAAUUGUGGCUCUUUAGCACAGAAGGAGACUGGAUGUGACCAGGGUGAAUGAUGUGCCUUAUAUAGGCAUAGGUGGGCAUCAAGGAUUCAGUUGGAAUGGUGACUUGAAGUCCAGCUUGACCAAGAGACAGCACCAUCUGUAAAGCAAAGAUUGGAACCCCCUGAAUGUCCAUCAGUGGGAAACAGGUUGAAUAAACUGUGGUAAAGGAGCACAGUGGAAUACUCUGUGGCUGAGGCAAAGAGUGAGCAUAGGGUAUGACAUCAGGAGAUAUAGACUGGUUAACUUCAGUGUCCCUACUGGAAAUUCACAGCUUUCUCAUUGCACCUGGGGCUUCACCCAACGGCUGAAGUCUUUGGAAAUUGCAGGGAUAUGUGAAACCACCAAGCUGGCCACUCCUCAUGCAAAAGCUAGCGUGGAAAAUCUGAGGUGCCCUGGCCCUGAGCCCACCGUGAAGCCUGGCUGUGGGUUGCGUCUCCCAGUCUUCAACUGGCAGCCGCAGCUGCUGGAGAGGCGGCACAGCCCCGUGCUUCCUGCCUGGGUGCUCAAGUCCAUUGCGACAGCCCUGGAGCCUCGCUGGGAAGGGCAGCGAGCCUUCACCUGAUGUGGCCAAGGGCGGCCACA